UACUGAGGGUGCAAGCGUUAAUCGGAAUUACUGGGCGUAAAGCGAGUGUAGGUGGUGACAUAAGUCGGAUGUGAAAUCCCUGGGCUUAACCUGGGAACUGCAUUCGAUACUGUGUGACUAGAGUUUGGUAGAGGGAAGUGGAAUUCCGGGUGUAGCGGUGAAAUGCGUAGAUAUCCGGAGGAACACCAGUGGCGAAGGCGGCUUCCUGGACCAAAACUGACACUGAGGCUCGAAAGCGUGGGGAGCAAACAGG
rnacentral:rRNA from 1 species